rnacentral:rRNA from 1 species
GACGAACCGUGCGAACGUUGUUCGGAAUCACUGGGCUUAAAGGGCGCGUAGGCGGUUUGCCAAGUCAGGGGUGAAAUCCUGCAGCUCAACUGUAGAAGUGCCUUUGAUACUGGCGAACUCGAGGGAGGUAGGGGUGGGUGGAACUUCUGGUGGAGCGGUGAAAUGCGUUGAUAUCAGAAGGAACGCCGGUGGCGAAAGCGACCCACUGGACCUCUUCUGACGCUGAGGCGCGAAAGCUAGGGGAGCAAACGGGG